rnacentral:rRNA from 1 species
AUUGAACGCUGGCGGCAGGCCUAACACAUGCAAGUCGAACGGUAACAGGAAGAAGCUUGCUUCUUUGCUGACGAGUGGCGGACGGGUGAGUAAUGUCUGGGAAACUGCCUGAUGGAGGGGGAUAACUACUGGAAACGGUAGCUAAUACCGCAUAACGUCGCAAGACCAAAGAGGGGGACCUUCGGGCCUCUUGCCAUCGGAUAUGCCCAGAUGGGAUUAGCUAGUAGGUGGGGUAACGGCUCACCUAGGCGACGAUCCCUAGCUGGUCUGAGAGGAUGACCAGCCACACUGGAACUGAGACACGGUCCAGACUCCUACGGGAGGCAGCAGUGGGGAAUAUUGCACAAAGGGCGCAAGCCUGAUGCAGCCAUGCCGCGUGUAUGAAGAAGGCCUUCGGGUUGUAAAGUACUUUCAGCGGGGAGGAAGGGAGUAAAGUUAAUACCUUUGCUCAUUGACGUUACCCGCAGAAGAAGCACCGGCUAACUCCGUG